AACGGUUUAUCUUUGCUCAAGAAUACGCAACGCCGAUAACCGACUGUUCUAUCUAUUAUUAAUCGAAAUCGAGAUCAGAAACUUGGAGAGAACAGUUCGUUCGAACGGUUGAUCGUGACUACAGAGAGAGUCGUUUUCAUGGGACAACGACAAUUUCAUCGGUGGUGACCCUUGGCGGCGGGGGGGCGAAGGAGCCGGAGCAAAAGUAACGAAGCGAGAUUCGUGUCGACAAAGAGGGACGUUAAUGAGCCAGACGACCGUGGAAUUGAAUUCGACGCCGCGCAAAGCGCACAAACGAACUUUCCUUCCACGGCAAAUUGUCGUGCAAUCCUAUCGAUCGAACGAGUCUUACUCACCUCUCGCUCCACGCACCCGUUCCCGAAUCUGGGAUUGCGAAGAAAAAACGUGGAAAAAGAAUUUUGAGAGGAAACAGUCGAAACGAAAUAGAAAAAAAAAGAGAAAAAAAGAAAAGUGAAAAGCCUCGACCGUGAAACUCGGUGAAAAUAAACCAACAGAUAGACAGGGAAAAAAGACUGGACAAAGAUAAUUCUUUCCCUUGGCUCCCCACUCCGUGGAUAUUUUCCUCGCUAAAACCGACCAUUUUUUUCGUUUCUUUUUUCUUCUUUUUUCACGCAGUCGCGUUUCUUUCGCGGUAACAAACGAGCUUUGUUUCGUUCGCGCGAGUAUAUAAAUAAAUAAGUUCUGGCUGGGUGAUUUUUAGCGGGAGAGCAGGAGCAAGAAAAACUGUGUUCGUCGAAACUGUGCGCGCAUACUGUGCACAUAUUAACUGGCAAUGAUUUUCUCUCUUCAUCAAAAACGCUAGACUUCUUUUCGGGAGAUCCAAUUUCCUUCCCAAUCGCAUCGAAUAUCAUUUUAUCGACUUUCAGAGUUAAAAGGAAUUUUCAAAAAAUCUUCUUAUUCAAAUAAAAUUUCCAGUAUCGCUCAUGUUGAAUUAUCCAUCCACCACUAUCAAAUUAUCGCGUGAAUAUUCGCGUGAAUCGACUCGAGAUCGUGGUCGGCUUUUUAACAACAAUCUCUCGUCGAUCGGCAACGUUUUUCAGUCGUGGAGAAGAGAGACGUUGAAUCGUGUCAGAAAUUCUUUCGACAAGCUGUUUCCGAACGGAUGACGAAAAAAAUGUUAAAAUUUCGACCGGUACAAAGGGGAAAAAAAUCCCUCUCUUUUUUCCAGCGACUGCUUCAUCGUCCGGAAUUAUUAUUCGUUCGUUAUCCUUCCAUCAUCCUCCAGCGAGAAUAAAACCCGUCUCGUGAAACGUUUUAACGUCCGAAACGUCGCUAAUUACCGCGAAUUACGUCAAGUCGAGGAAGGAAGAUUGAAUUUUGUUUAACGACCCAGUGUAACACUCGGUGUAAAAUAUCCCGUGUCCUUUUUGGAUAUCGAUUAGCUACUACAACGCGUUGCCACAUUCGAAUAUCUCGAAUCGAGAUCGAUGUACAGCCGCUACUCUGAUGGCCAGAAUCAAUUUUUCUCUCUUUUUUUUUUUUUUUUAAGCUGGACACAACAAUUUCUAUUUCGGGUAAAUUCGUUGCCAGCGAAUGGAAACUAAAAGGGGGAGGUGCAUUCCGAUGGAAUGCAAAAAAGAUAACAAAGAAGGCACGUGAAUACGCGAAAAAUAUAACGAGACGAAACGAUUUUGUUACAAUCAAAAUCCGAUUUUCAUCCGAUAGCGCCAGUUUCCAUUCAAUCUCGUUCGUCAAUGCCACGUGUAAUAUUGACUACCUUCCACGAAAUUUUUUUGCCUCGCGAUAAAUACACGAAAUGAAAAGAAAAAGGAAAAAAAAAAGAGAUUUCAAUUCGAUGAUAUUAAAAUCCCUGGGUGGAGGAGAAAGAAAUUAAGGAAAAAAAGGAAGCUUGAGAAUUUCCAUUAGAGACGAGGACAGGAGGAUGGAAGAGAGGACCAAACGAAACCAAA